GGGCCCGUGGCUCAAUGGAUAGAGCAUCAGGCUUCGGACCUGAGGGUUGGGGGUUCGAAUCCCCUCGGGCUCA
rnacentral:tRNA from 1 species